GGCAACGUGGCCGAGCGGUCUAAGGCGCCACGUUAAGGUGUUCAAUCCUUAAUCAUCAUCAUGUGGUUUCAUGAUUCCGUGGUCCGAAAGGGCGUGAGUUCGAAUCUCACCGUUGUCA